GGACAUGUUAAAAUAGUUCAGGCUCUCAAAGAGUUUUUUCAUACAGAUAAGAAGGCAGACAUAUAAAGCAGACAAAUAAUAUCCUAGAUGACUGGAUGGUUGGCCUUUACCAUGUUGUCCAAGUUAGACUGAUGUACACUUUUCUAGAUUAAAUAAGCACAUAUUAAUAACAUUUGCUGUUAGGUAAUAGUAGUUUAUGGAUAAAACAUGACAUAAUUGAGAAAUUUCAAAGUUGGGAGAUAACUUUAAGGCUAUCUCUAGUUGAUUUCUUUGGAAGAGGGAUUGGGUAUAUCAAUUUAAAAAUGAUUUAUCCCCUUUCCCACCAAUGUUUUGGCCAUAAGUACAUCAUUAAUAUCAUCAAUUAAUAAAUGUUUCAUUGACAACUGAUUAUCAUCACCAUUUUGGAGUCCACAGAAGCUUGCUUUGCCCCUUCCUCAGCAAGACUCCAGUCAUUCAUGACACUUAGGUACCCAAUAUUUCCAUUUUUCUCAAGUGAUAUUUUCACUAAGAACUCAAUUUCCAUCUUAAAUGAGUGGCAAAUGAGAUUAUUUUUAAAAGCAAGCUUAAACAGAGAAUGUUUACUCCUUAACAAACCCUGCACGAGCCUACCCUAGGAUAACAAUCAUUUCCAAAACUUUUAAUAACUGUUAUCUGUCUAGACAUCAACUCAUAGGAAGAAAGCAGAAAUGGCUGUCGAAGGGUAAAACAAUCAGCAUCUCAAAGAUGAAGAAUUUGGGCACAGCAAAGAUGCCAGUUUAUAGGAAGAGGUAAGCAAUUUUGUCUUGUCUCUGAUAGGGAAAGAGGGAGUCCGAAAUAAAAUGACUUUCAAGUUUUGUGGGCCUGUUUACAUAUACACUAGCAUGUGGGAAUGUGGCUACAACCCUGUGAGAUGAACAGGACAGAUACUGUUAUCUCCACUUUAUAAAUGAAGCAACUCAAGAAGAGUUGAAGCAGUGGCAGGGCCAGAAGUCCCUCUAGUUGGUACCCAGUGAGUUUUUAUUAUUCCUGUCCCCUUAAAACCAAGGGUUAGAUAAGGGUACCAGGUCAUCUAUUAAUUUAAUGUAUUGAGGAUAUUAUAAUGUACAGCAGGAAAAAUGGAGAGUGAGAUAUACUUCAACUGCUUAGAACUGUAAUUAUCUGAGACUUGUAAAUCCAGGGUGCUUAUGCAUGCCAAAGUUGAUGCUUAGAACGUUAAGCUUUAUUACAAAACCUGGAGGCAUUUCAAGUGCAUCUCUUUAGUUUCAUAUUUUUUCCCUCUUGUGCUAUUUGAAGGGAGGGGUUGCUCAAUGUUGAGGAUGGGUUGGGAUCAGAAGGAAGAAAAAGAUUUAUGGAGACUAUGCAAGGGAGGCCAUGGAGUGUCUGUUGUGUGGGAGGCUGCAUUUCGCAGGGUAAAACAGACAUUUUCACGAAAGCACAUCUAGAUCUUAACGAAGAGAAGCAAGAGAUAAGCCUUAUCAGAGAAAAAGAAAAGACACGUAGGAAUAACAUUGUGUUUAUUUUAAUAGAAAAGCAUGAAAUAUGUUUUGGGAUGCAUCCAAAUGCGUGCUCAGUAAAAGGAGCGAAAGAUAGUGUCAUAAGAUUUGUAGGCUUAUCUAGCUUUCCAAAAACAAGUAUUAUAUGUAAAUAUUGGUUUAUUACUAUUCUCUAUAAUUAUAUUAGUUGGAGGAUAUGGCACAACAAAGGACAAACUAAAAUUUAUAUUCUCUCAGAAAUAUUUGAUAUAUCAGUAUAGUUCACUGGCCGGAGUUCCUAUAUCCCUCUCACUGGAAAUUUGAACAGAUAGUCUCUCAUACUUAACAUGUCUAAACUUAUUGUGCAAAGAAGCACGCUACUAAAUCUAUGACUGCCAUAAAUUCAUAAAGAAUGAAGGCAUGUAGGUGAGAGGUAAGGGUGCAUCGUUGUCAACAUAUGUCAUUUCAGGGGGCAUUUUCUGUUUGUAGGAGGUCUGUAAAGCUAUCACUCCACUCUACUGAUGCCCUCACUAACUUGACAAAAUCACUGAAUGUCUUUGUUUCUCCUGUUGCCUUCCGGUACCCAACCACCUCAGUCACCAACUUCACUGAAUGAAGAGGGAGCCUAGUUAACAUGGGAAAGAGGAGGCUUGUAUUAGAGGAAGAGGAAUGUACUAGGUCACAGGAUGGGCAAGAAGAACAGACAAUGCAGGAUUAUGGGAAGAGCAACUGAUUCAACUUGUGACUUUGUAAAUGGUUAUUCUAUCUGUUAGCCAGUUAAUUACUUAACAUCAUUAAACCUCAGUCCCUUUCAUCUACAAAAUGGGUAUAAUAUAAUAAUGCCUACCUAUCUGAUAUAACUAGUAAGUAGUUCAAUUCAGAUAAUAUA